rnacentral:ncRNA from 1 species
UUGACUGGGGCGGUACGUCUGUCAAACGGGAACGCACGUGUCUCAGCGUGGACAGAAACCACACGUCGAGCAAAAGGGCAUAAGCUCGCUCGAUCGAUCUCGAUUUUCACUACGAAUACGGACCGCGAAAGCGUGGCCCAUCGAUCCUUUCCUUUUACAUGUUGGUACCAUUUUAUCAAGACAAAG